CUUGUGCCAGCCGCCGCGGUAAUACAGAGGGUGCAAGCGUUAAUCGGAAUUACUGGGCGUAAAGCGCGCGUAGGUGGUUCGUUAAGUUGGAUGUGAAAUCCCCGGGCUCAACCUGGGAACUGCAUUCAAAACUGACGAGCUAGAGUAUGGUAGAGGGUGGUGGAAUUUCCCGUGUAGCGGUGAAAUGCGUAGAUAUAGGAAGGAACACCAGUGGCGAAGGCGACCACCUGGACUGAUACUGACACUGAGGUGCGAAAG
rnacentral:rRNA from 1 species